rnacentral:tRNA from 1 species
GGGAAUGUGACUUAGUGGUAGAGUACUUGCCUAGCAUGCAUGAAGCCCUGGGUUCGAUUCCUCAGUACCA